rnacentral:lncRNA from 1 species
AUUCAGCUCGCUGUUCGCUAGCCAGCUCAUGUUCGGCUCGAAAUGAGCUCGAGAUCGAAUCGCUCGUUUAGUAAACGAGCCAAACACGAGCCGAAUUGUUUAGCUUAUUUAAUAAAUGAGCCGAACACGAGCUAUGGACAACUCGCUCGUAUUCGGCUCGAUAACAGCUCGAAUACUUAUAUUUUAUAUUUAUAUAAUUUAUCUAAUAUAUAUUUAUAUAUAUAAAUAAACAAUUAUAUAUAUAAUGUAUAUAUAUUUAUUAUUUGAUUUUUAGUAAAAAAAAAAUAUAAAGCCGAGCUCAAUUAUAAAAACACUUAUUUAUAUGUAAAGUUUCAACCAUUAAAUCAAAAUUUAAUAGAUAAAAGUUUAUAAAUUUAUUUUUUAUAUAUAUUCAAUGUAAUUUAUUUAACUUAUUAUUCAUUAGCCAGCUCACGAGCUGAAUUUUUCGACUCGAUACUUUUUUAAAUGAGCCGAACACGAGCC